CACACACACACACACACACACACACACACACACACACACACACACACACACACUCACACACACACACACACUCACACACACACGAGAUAUCAUCAUGUCAUUUUGAAAAUGUUACCUUCAGUGUAUUUUUACCGACAGAUAGACUCAACACACCCAGCAGUAAUAUCUACAACAAGACUAUUUCAGUAUAAACCGCUGAUGGUCGUAUUAAUAUUGAAUUAGCUUUAUUUUAUAUUUUCAUUUAAAUCUUACUCAUUUUUCCUUAUUAAGUGCUUGUGUCAGUUUUGUCUUUAUUCAUUUGUUUUAAUAUAAAGUUAGAUGAAUUCACUGAGGCACCGUUUUCAAAGUUUUUCCUAAUUUCAGCACUUUAUUUUAAACAUAUUUCAGUUUUAUGCGAUCAUAAGCAGCAUGGGUGUAUUUCUAACUCAUAGUUUGGGUCCAAAUGAGUUUUAGUUUAUGCCAAAAAUCAUUAGGAUAUUAAUUAAAGAUCUCGUUCCACGAAGACCCUACUGACCAUCAAUCACUGUAAAGAGCUCCGCCGGUGACGUCAAACACCAUCACACCUUCAAGAGCCUCCGCGUGCAGGACGUCACAGAUCUGCUCUGAUCUCAGGGGUGUGUUUUAUCACCGCGCCGAUGCACUCCAGCGAAGACUCGGCACGACCAGCGUUCCUUUGAAGGGAGAACCCAGGAGGAUAUGAAUGAGUUCAGCUGAUAAUCAGAGACACCUGAAAGGAUCUGACGAGGACUAAACCUGCAUCCCAGACUACAGACACUGAGCUGUGUGUGAGCUCUGUUCGGUGCUUCGAUUCAAUAAAAAUGAUUGAUUGAUUGAUUGA